UUUACCCUAAACUUCCCUCUCCCCCUUACCUCUGCCUCCUUUAAUUUCCUUUCCUCUUCGCAGCUCUUCCCUCCCCGCAGCAAGCAAGGGGAGCUCAACAAGAUCUUCUUCCCUCUCUAUAACAAGCAAGGAGGAGCCCAGCGAGUGAUGAUUGCUUGUCGGAAGCCUGGCGAGGCAGAGGCCCCAUCGCCUGCUGCCGCACGUGAAGCGGCUAGGGCGCUUUGGACCAACUGCUCCAGCACCUGUGCCAUCAAUGUCGUGUACUCCUCAAGCAUCUCCGCUACAACCGCUACCAGUAUCAUGAUCCCUUUUCUUCUUCUUGUUCUUCACCUUGGAAGGAGUCGAUCCUCCAAACAGAUCCCUAAUCCGUUGCUAAUCUAGGAAGUUUUGAUGCACAUAUCUACAAGAUCGCCAUGAUUUGAUUAUUCACUCACAUUCCCUAAUCAAGCAUUCUUUCCACACAAUCAUUGAGUUAGAAUUUGUAUAAACAUUAAGUUUUGUUUUUCAUGGACAGAGGCAGGAUGACUUUUUCUUGAGUGGAAGUUCAACUGAUGAGGCAGAGGCAGAUGAUGAAUGGAUAGAUAGAAGUACUAGGACUAGUCUCAUGAAUGUUACCUUGUGAGAACCGAGUGGUCUAUUAAUGUUAUGACUAUUUUAUGUAUUCCAAUGCAAGAGAGUUAGAAGAACCAAUGCAGCAAUCAGAAAUCAAUGUGGACUUUGAACUACUUGCACUACUCCAGAGAGACAUAGAAGGAAAGGAAUUUGUGCCAUAUACAUUAGAUGGAUGGAAUGAUAUUGAUGAAGAAGUGAAGGAUAGGAUGUGGAAGCACGGUCGCAUGAUGAAAUGCAGUUUCUCGAUGAUGUAAUAGGAAGUACGGUCGCAUGGUUAUCUAAAUUUAUAUUAUUGUGUGAUUGAUACAUAUUAUACUAAUUUGUGUGAAUUGUAAGUUUAAUUGUUGUUAUGUAAUUACUAGUUUGUUAGAUA